GACGAACGCUGGCGGCGUGCCUAAUACAUGCAAGUCGAACGCAGUGGGGACGGGUGAGCAACACGUGGGUAACCUCCCAUCAGAGGGGAUAACACUUGGAAACAGGUGCUAAACCGAUAUUGAAGGAUGGACCCGCGGUGCAUUAGCUAGUUGGUGAGGUAACGGCUCACCAGGGCCACGAUGCAUAGCCGACCGGAGGGGGUGUUCGGCCACACGGGGACUGAGACAGGGCCCAGUCUCCUACGGGAGGCAGCGGUAGGGAAUCUUCGGCAAUGGACGAAAGUCGGACCGAGCAACGCCGCGUGAUUGAAGAGGGUUUUCGGAUCGUAAAACUUUGUUGUUAGAGAAGCGGUAUCUAACCAGAAAGCCACGGCUAACUACGUGCCAGCAGCCGCGGUAAUUC
rnacentral:rRNA from 1 species